rnacentral:rRNA from 1 species
AUGGCACCUGCGCUCGCUGAUGAAGCGUAUGGCAUCACGUUCUGGUUGAACUCCCCAUUGUACAUCCGCUCCAGCAUGCUGAAGCUGAGGUACGCCGGUGACAAGUCUGGGAGGAGCAUGUCACCGUCAAGGUACUGCAUGACCUGUCGCAUGGUUGGCCUCGCGGUGGGCAAUGGGUGUGAGCAGAGCAGUGCUAGUUUCAGCACCAGUGAGACCUUGUCCGGAUUAAACCCAUCUGGAAUUCUCGUAUCCGCCACAUCAACAAUCAAUCCGUUGCGCCAUUGCUCGAUCACCCAAUCCACGAGCACGAUGCGGCUGUUGCGCUCGUUUUGCUCAAUUGGCCUCCGCCCACACGUGAUUUCCAGAAGGAAUGCACCGAAGGCGAACACAUCAGUGGACGGGGUUGCCUUGCCGGUGUGUCCAAGCUCAGGAGCUAGGUAG